AUUGAACGCUGGCGGUAGGCUUAACACAUGCAAGUCGUGCGAGAAAGUAUCUUCGGAUAUGAUUAGAGCGGCGGACGGGUGAGUAACGCGUAGGAAUCUACCUAGUAGAAGGGGAUAGCCCGAGGAAACUCGGAUUAAUACCGUAUACCUCCUUCGGGAGAAAGAAGGCCUCUCUUUGAAGCUUUCGCUACUAGAUGAGCCUGCGUAAGAUUAGCUUGUUGGUGAGGUAAAGGCUCACCAAGGCGACGAUCUUUAGCGGGUCUGAGAGGACGAUCCGCCACAUUGGGACUGAGACACGGCCCAGACUCCUACGGGAGGCAGCAGUGGGGAAUAUUGGACAAUGGGCGCAAGCCUGAUCCAGCCAUACCGCGUGUGUGAAGAAGGCCUUAGGGUUGUAAAGCACUUUAAGUUGGGAAGAAAGGUUAUUGGCUAAUACCCAAUAACUGUGACAUUACCAUCAGAAUAAGGACCGGCUAAUUCCGUGCCAGCAGCCGCGGUAAUACGGAAGGUCCAAGCGUUAAUCGGAAUUACUGGGCGUAAAGCGCGCGUAGGUGGUUUAUUAAGUUGGAUGUGAAAUCCCCGGGCUCAACCUGGGAACUGCAUUCAAAACUGGUUCACUAGAGUACGAUAGAGGGAGGUAGAAUUCACAGUGUAGCGGUGGAAUGCGUAGAUAUUGUGAAGAAUACCAAUGGCGAAGGCAGCCUCCUGGAUCUGUACUGACACUGAGGUGCGAAAGCGUGGGUAGCGAACAGGAUUAGAUACCCUGGUAGUCCACGCCGUAAACGAUGUCAACUAGCUGUUGGAAAGCACUGCUUUUCAGUGGCGCAGCUAACGUAGUAAGUUGACCGCCUGGGGAGUACGGCCGCAAGGUUAAAACUCAAAUGAAUUGACGGGGACCCGCACAAGCGGUGGAGCAUGUGGUUUAAUUCGAUGCGACGCGAAAAACCUUACCUAUGCUUGACAUACUUGGAAUACUUUGUAAUGAAGUAGUGC
rnacentral:rRNA from 1 species